AUUCCAUAAGAAAUACAUGGGGAGCUUACGGAACGACAUAAAGAGGUCACUAGCGUCACUAAAGGUGCUCCGACCUUGAAGAACAUAGUUUCUUUUUCAUUUUAAGGUUUUCGGUGAACGUUUUGUCUGGUUUUGUCAACAAGAAAUGUCAUAUUAAUUACGGGAUCAUACGGGAUGUAGGGUUAUGAGGUUAAAAACAAACGUAAAAUUUAUUUUAACAAAGUAAUAGAUACUUACGAUACAUGUAAAAAAUACUAGAAAAUUCCAGGCUAAAGAGGUCAACAAACUGCAGGUUAAACGAAAUAGUUUAAUUUUCGAUGUGUGCGUGUUUGAGCGGUCCAAGAUUUAUUUUUAAAUUUUAGUGUGUAAAAAAUUCCAACUAAUAAAAACUGAAACGAGGUAAUCAAGAGGAAAGUCUUUGCAGGGGUGGUGGAAUGGUAUUUUUGUAUGGUUCGUUUUUUAGCCGCAAACCAGUUAACGACUACGGUGCAUAAAUUGGGAAAAACUCAUAAAAUGUAUUACCCAUCGGAGUAUAAACUACAAAAUGUUUAGGUGGUAUCAUUAAAUCCCCAAAAAUCACAUCUUCAUUGAAGACUUUAAAAUGUCACACAAUUAAAACAGGAUGUACCACUUCGUAAGAAUGUGCAAAGUUCACAACAAACUUCGCAGAAGUGGUGAUGUGAGUUUCCGGUAACUCACAUCACUUAAUGAUUGUUGAAGAGGCUGGAAUACAGAGGAGAUGUGUUGUGGAAGUUUGUUUAAAAGAACACCUUAGCAAAUUUUUCAUUUCAAAUAAAAUAGUGUUUCACAGUUGGUUCUUGCACUCGUAUCGAAAUAAUCUGUAGUAAAUAGUUUCCGAAACACACUUUGGAAUUGUGUUGGUGUGGGAUUUAUACAAUUCCCAAAUUGACGUCUCACAGAGCCAAACAAAUAUGUCAAACAAUACUGAUUUAGUUGCAGCAACCUUUUAGUGAAAAUUGUAAACAAAUUGUAUUCUGUGAAAACUAUUAAAAAUAAUAAGCAAAAUGUUUAUGUUCCUGA